GACGAACGCUGGCGGCGUGCUUAACACAUGCAAGUCGAACGGAAAGGCCCUGCUUUUGUGGGGUGCUCGAGUGGCGAACGGGUGAGUAACACGUGAGUAACCUGCCCUUGACUUUGGGAUAACUUCAGGAAACUGGGGCUAAUACCGGAUAGGAGCUCCUGCUGCAUGGUGGGGGUUGGAAAGUUUCGGCGGUUGGGGAUGGACUCGCGGCUUAUCAGCUUGUUGGUGGGGUAGUGGCUUACCAAGGCUUUGACGGGUAGCCGGCCUGAGAGGGUGACCGGCAACAUGGGGACGGAGGUACGGCCCAGACUCCUAGGGGGGGCAGAGGGGGGGAAUAUUGAAAAAGGGGCGGAAGCCUGAGGCAGAAACGCGGGGUGGGGGAUGACGGCCUUGGGGUUGUAAACCGCUUUCGCCUGUAACGAAGGGGGGGUGACGGUAAUGGGUAAAGGAGCACCGGCUAACUACGU
rnacentral:rRNA from 1 species